CCACCGUCCAAUGCUCUCUCCACUCCGGUGCUAGUCUCCUGCGGGCUCUUCAGCAGGUAUCCCUUUGAGCAUGUCGCCCCCGUCUCUACCCUCCUAUCUCAGGCGCGCGGCCUUCGACAAGCUUGCGGAGUUGGCCACUAGCUUCCCGGGGAAUGACGGUGACAUCGUAUCAGAUGUCGACCGGCUGGGGGACGCCUGUAAUCGUCCAAAGUUGCUCUCUAGUGGAUAUCUCGAUGGUGUUUCCAGGAGCCGCCCCUCGCCCACUUCGCCGUUGACCAUUCGGGAAUUGGAUGCGCUUUUGGCGCUUUGUCGAGCAGCCUCCAAGACGUCCCCCCCAAAACCUGCCGCGAAAUUGAUCUCCCAGCUGGCUGCAUACCUCCCCGAUUCACACCUCCUGCUACUGCACGCAUCUCCGUUCCUCUACAGCAUUAAACCGUCUCCGUGGGAAGCCUUGACAUACAAUCUGACCAUCUCCCUCUUAUCGCUUGGCUCUCGAUUUCCCGGCCACCGCGACGAUGUCCUCCAGAGCGUGAUGUCCUAUCUCGCAAAUUGCAUCCAUGCCACCAAAUCCCUCCCCGCUUUGCAGAACCGCGCGAAUGGCGAAAGAGACCUGGGAGAUUUCCAGGCUGCUGUGAAUGUGGCAUCCAUUACCGUGUCCCUUAUGGGGUUCCUGGAAGCUGCCUCUGUCCAUGCUAGCUUUUGGCAACCAAAGGAAAGACUCA
rnacentral:sRNA from 2 species